CCAGACUCCUACGGGAGGCAGCAGUGGGGAAUAUUGCACAAUGGGGGGAACCCUGAUGCAGCGACGCCGCGUGGGUGAAGGAGCACCUCGGUGCGUAAAGCCCUAUCGGCAGGGAAGAAACAGACGGUACCUGACUAAGAAGCCCCGGCUAACUACGUGCCAGCAGCCGCGGUAAUACGUAGGGGGCAAGCGUUAUCCGGAUUCACUGGGUGUAAAGGGAGCGUAGACGGCGACGCAAGUCUGGAGUGAAAACUCCGGGCUCAACCUGGAGACUGCACUUGAAACUGGGUGUCUUGAGGGCAGGAGAGGAAAGUGGAAUUCCUAGUGUAGCGGUGAAAUGCGUAGAUAUUAGGAGGAACACCAGUGGCGAAGGCGACUUUCUGGACUGUACCUGACGCUGAGGCGCGAAAGCGUGGGUAGCGAACGGGAUUAGAUACCCCGGUAC
rnacentral:rRNA from 1 species